GCCAUCGCCACAUGCAAGAGCCUGUGUUCCCCUUCAAGGCGCCUUCCUCCCCCCUCCUCCUCCCUAGAGGAUGGGAGUGGGGUGGGGGACGCCUUCCAAGUUUUCCUCAAUGAGUUUUUAUUACUUUUAUAACCAGAAAAAAUAUUAAAUAAUGUUCUUUGUCAGUGCUCUAGGUCAGUGCUUCUCAAACAUGAGCGUGCUGCGCCUGCCCGUCACCUGGGGAGCUUGUUAAAAUGCGGGUUGUGAUUCGGUAGGUCUGGGGUGGGACAGGAUUCUGCACUUCCACACGCUCCUGGGUGAUGCAGUGCUACUGGCCCAUACCAAGCUUCGAAGAGCGAAGUGAUGGGGGACAAGUGGAGACGGGGUGCACCCUGUGACCUGCCUCGUUGCUCUUCACCGCCCUCAAAACCCCAUGUUUCAUAGGUCUUCACAUUUCGCUGAACAUUUAGUGUAAUGGUGAUGAAGUUGGAAGAAGGCGGCAUCUACGUAGGCAUCUGGACUAACCACGGCACUUUGGAGGCUGGUUCUUUAGAGAACACAUUCCAAGGUUUGAGCUCCCUUAUGCCCCAAGUAGACAGAACAAGUUGAACUCACGGAAGGGGACUUAGAUGAGAGUCAAGAGGCCAGGACUUUAGCCCCAGUUACACCAGUGACUCAGUUUCCCCCAAUGUAGUUGCUGGGGUUGAGGAUAAAUUGUUGGUAAAGAUAGUGAUUUUCACGAUCCUGUGAAAGGAUUAUCUUGGAGUUAGGGAGCACUCAGUCACCGAGUCCUCCCUGGAGGCUGGAGGGCAGCUUACUGGGAAUGUCAUAAAGGGGAUUUGAGCAUCAGAGGGAAAGGCGGCUAAGAGACCUACAAUAUCCUCAUCAUAAUGAGUUUCAACCGGCCUUCGCUUUCCAGCUCCAUCUACAAAUAAAAAGUCUGUAUUACGUCUUGUUGGAAAGAAGAGCAGGAAGGCACUGAAGCUACCUCCGUGCACUAUUUGUUUCCUUAUUCAAAACUGCAGAAUUGAGCAGUGCUGGGGUGGAAAGAACACUGACAGGCCUCCAGUCCCACCUGCUCGUGUGAGGCGCUCUGUGGAGCUCCGGAGCUGCGGGGAGAGAGGACUCCCAAGUCCGAGGGGGCCAGGGCUUUUGUGACGUGCCCUGCAGUCUCCCGGAGAGAUGGCUGUGCUUAUCUGGCCUCCAAACAAGCCCUUCCAGGGACCGGGGACAACUCCCAGGCAGUGCUUCGUGACUGGCUAUAAUCUGUGGCCACUCCAGCUUUCUCAUUCUCCUUCCAACACAUCAAGCUUUGUCACACCUCAGAGCCGGCGCACUUACUGCUUCAUCAGACUGGGAUGCUUUCUUCAAGAGCUAUUUCCGGGAUGCUGUGCGAACUUGAUCUCAGAACCAGCAGCAGAAACACUGGACUCGUCUGUCCACUAAGAAAUGAGAAGACUUCCUUCAGGAGUUCGAACUGCUUCUAAGUUUAGCCCUGAGCUAACUACUGCUAGUCAUCCUCUUUUUGCUGAGGAAGCCUGGCCCUGAGCUAACAUCCGUGCCCAUCUUCCUCCACUUUAUAUGCGGGACGCCUACCACAGCAUGGCAUGCCACGAGGUGACGUCUCCGAACCUGGGAUUUGAACCGGCGAACCCCUGGCUUUGGAGAAGCGGAAUGUGCAAACUUAACUGCUGUGCCACCAGGCUGGCCCCUGUUAAAAAUGUUAAAUAGUCACACACACGCUUGGCAAAAAGAUUGAAAGACAAUACACCUCAUUGUAGCAGGAGUUAUUUCUGGAUGAUGAGAGAUCAGAGUUGGAAUUCAUUUAUUUUUAAUUUUUAUAAAAUGAACAUGCACUAUUCUUAUAAUCAGAAAAAAAUGGUAAGAAAGAGGUAGAGGUUGGUUUUUCUUGAAUGGGUUUAAUUUUAAGGUUUUUCCUCAUUUUCAAAUUACAGCUUUGUCAGGAGAUAAAAGAAAAGUAAGUGAGCUCCAGAAAUUUUGCCACAAAUAAUAAAUUGCUAUUCAUAUUAUAAAUCACAUAUAAGUUAUUAGAUUAAAAUUUAAAGCUACCAUAACAGGUUAUUCAUGUAACACUCUGCUUCAAGCUUUUUGAUUUAUUCUGAAUUGCUAGUCCGCUUCACAGAGUUUAGAUCACAUAAGUUGUUACAUUUUGUUGAUGAUGUUUUGGUUUGGUUUAGUUUUCCUAAAAAAAUUAUAGGAAUAAACAAAUUCAACCCUCCAUAGCUAAAAUUAAAAAGCAAACUGGAUGACAAAACGUAUUUAUAUAAAUUUGACAGAAAGUUAAGAGUUACAUUUUCUGAAGAGCAUUUUAAAAGUGUUGUUUAUAAGAAAACAAUCAAAUCCCUAAGAGGUAAGUGAACAAAGGCCAUCAGCAUAUUUUGCUCAAUAAAAAUGUAA
rnacentral:lncRNA from 1 species